ACGAUACACUUUGAAGACGUUGACCAUCCGCAGGUACGGCCCCGCGCAGCUCCCAGUGGCCGCGGUUCGCCGUUCCCAGCCAAUGGGAGCUGCGGGAAGCAGC